rnacentral:rRNA from 1 species
UACGUAGGGGGCUAGCGUUGUCCGGAUUUAUUGGGCGUAAAGAGCGUGUAGGCGGCCAGGUAGGUCUGGUGUGAAAACUCGAGGCUUAACCUUGAGAUGUCAUCGGAAACCAUUUGGCUAGAGUCCGGAAGAGGAAAGUGGAAUUCCUGGUGUAGCGGUGAAAUGCGCAGAUAUCGUAAGGAACGCCAGUGGCGAAAGCGAAUCUCUGGGCAGCAACUGACGCUGAGGCACGAAGGCCAGGGGAGCAAACGGG